UACGCAGGGUGCAAGCGUUAAUCGGAAUUACUGGGCGUAAAGCGUGCGCAGGCGGUGAUGUAAGACAGGUGUGAAAUCCCCGGGCUUAACCUGGGAACUGCAUUUGUGACUGCAUCGCUGGAGUGCGGCAGAGGGGGAUGGAAUUCCGCGUGUAGCAGUGAAAUGCGUAGAUAUGCGGAGGAACACCGAUGGCGAAGGCAAUCCCCUGGGCCUGCACUGACGCUCAUGCACGAAAGCGUGGGGAGCAAACAGG
rnacentral:rRNA from 1 species